AUUGCCUUUGAUACUGCCAGUCUUGAGUUCGGGAGAGGUGAGCGGAAUUCCGAGUGUAGAGGUGAAAUUCGUAGAUAUUCGGAGGAACACCAGAGGCGAAGGCGGCUCACUGGACCGAUACUGACGCUGAGGAGCGAAAGCGUGGGGAGCAAACAGGAUUAGAUACCCUGGUAGUCCACGCCGUAAACGAUGAGAGCUAGUUGUCUGGCAGCAUGCUGUUAGGUGACGCAGCUAACGCAUUAAGCUCUCCGCCUGGGGAGUACGGCCGCAAGGUUAAAACUCAAAGAAAUUGACGGGGGCCCGCACAAGCGGUGGAGCAUGUGGUUUAAUUCGAUGCAACGCGAAGAACCUUACC
rnacentral:rRNA from 1 species